rnacentral:tRNA from 1 species
GCCGAAGUGGUGGAACUGGCAGACGCGCUAGAUUCAGGGUCUAGUGUCCGCAAGGAUGUGCGGGUUCGAAUCCCGCCUUCGGCACCA